rnacentral:rRNA from 1 species
GACGUAGGGGGCCAGCGUUGCUCGGAAUUACUGGGUGUAAAGGGUUCGUAGGCGGUGUGGCAAGUCGGGAGUGAAAUCUCUGGGCUCAACCCAGAGUCUGCUUCCGAAACUGCCGUGCUUGAGUGUGGGAGAGGCGCGUGGAAUUGCAGGUGUAGCGGUGAAAUGCGUAGAUAUCUGCAGGAACACCCGUGGCGAAAGCGGCGCGCUGGACCACUACUGACGCUGAGGCGCGAAAGCGUGGGGAUCAAACAGG